GUAUUUUGCCAUCUGCUAUCAGGCUCAAAUUCUUCGUUGCUUGAAUCCUCGUCUGAACUGCUGUCUGGUUCGUACGAUAUCGACUCAGAUGAGAUGAUUGCCCGCUGUGCCUCGUGGAGCUGAUCAGAUGAGGACGGAAGCAGCAAU
rnacentral:SRP_RNA from 12 species